CGUUUAGCAGGACCUCGUCGACGCCAGUGUCUAAAUUUGACCGCCGUGCACUGCAUCACCGGCGUCUUCGCGGCCGGGAUCGCCGGAAGGCAGGGAUGCCAUGUAUCCGGCCGCGAGCACCUCAUCCGAAGGCCAGGAGGAGGGGCGCGUCCACGACCUGGAGGAGCUCGCCCCCAAUCCCCAGCGCCGUCGCCACAGUGCAGCAGGACCUCGUCGACAUCAAGGUAACAGGAAGAGCUUUCGUAAACCCUUAGUCCGACGAGUCCUGCAGCUGCUCAUGUCGACGCAGUGGCCUUCCUACUGCUCGCGCCCCUGUGGGUGGAAUGGCCAGGGAUUCCGAUGCAAUGGUGGCGUCUUACGGCGCGUGAUGUCUCCUCCUCGGUUACAUAACCCUAUGGUAGCUUGGGAUGGUGGUACAGUCCCGAGGCGGCGGUGACGUCGAGGAUGUGAUAUAGUGGGAUUCAGGAACGGCGACUACCUCCAUCCGCUCGGAGGACGCCAGGGAAAAGAAUGGCUACUACGGCCUGUUGUA